ensembl:lncRNA
UCCUGAUGACUGUAACGUUCCCGUUGAUGACUGUAACGUUCCUGUUGAUGACUCCUGUAACAUUCCUGUUGAUGACUGUAACGUUCCUGUUGAUGACUGUAACGUUCCUGUUGAUGACUGUAACGUUCCUGUUGAUGACUGUAACGUUCCUGUUGAUGACUGUAACGUUCCUGUUGAUGACUAAUGUUCCCGUUGAUGACUGUAACGUUCCUGUUGAUGACUGUAACGUUUCUGUUGAUGACCGUUCCUAUUGAUGACUGUUCUAAACGUCUUCAUUUGCAGCUCUCUCUCUCUUAACAUCAGAAUGGAGUGAUCUUGGAAAACAGUAGUUGACAAUUGCUAUGCUAUUUUCCCUACUUUUCUGUCAUCUUCAGAGUAAACAUUUGAUCAUGUAGGAAUGCAAUACAGUAUGUCAGAGCAUUACCCUUUUAUCUUUGUUGAACUGAGACAGGUCACCCUCUGCAAAAUGUUAAAGAUGAAACACCUAGAGUUUUGUAAAACUCUUGUAAAUUGUAAUAAUUAUAAUAGCAUUUCAUUGUCUGCAUGUAAUCAAGUUGAAUUUAUGUUCUGUACCUCUUCUGCCUGUUGUUCCUGUGGCCUUUAUCACACCUUCUAAGUUAACAUAACACUUAACUGUCUUAACCUGGGUAUAGUAUAGGAUUGUCAUAUGCCAUGCUUGAAAUUCACGACUUGUAGUUAUGAUCCAUAAUGGACAUUUGAACCUUGUUUAUUAAGUCAUGUAUAAGUCAUGUAUAGACACAAUCUUCAGCCUGCAGCUACUCUUCCUUUAGCAGAACCAUGUUAAGGGAAACAUGCAGUGUGUUUUGAUCCGUUCUGUUUUUGCCAGUAAUGUCUCGGAACGAGUCGGCUCAAAGUUGAAUGGUUUAGUGAAUGAGAGAGAGGGAAUGAAAUGAAACGAGUGAAGAUGAUGCUAAAUGUGUUCUUACCUCAUGGAGAGACAUUUUCAGGGAUUUUAUAUAACAUAUCUGUAUUUUGUUACAGCCUCUGAAAUACAUCAAAGGGCUGUGUUUAUUUGGCAUGUGUUUGUAAAAUAUGUACAUAAGAUUCGCUUGGUAACGGGGGACCUUUUCUCUGAAUCAUGAAGGAUGUGAAGUUAAAUUGACCCAAUUACAGUAUGUAUAGUGUAUGUAAAACUAAAUGUACAAUACAUUUAUGUACAAGUUUAUACAACAAAUAUAUUGUAUAUUUUUUACCUUUAAAUGUGCUAUGUAUUCUUGUGUUAUUAUUACUGUCUUAUUGUUAUUCAGGUCUACUGCCGUGCUAAAGCUUAGGCUACUUUCAGUCAACACUCAAUGACUCAACA